UACGAAGGGUGCAAGCGUUACUCGGAAUUACUGGGCGUAAAGCGUGCGUAGGUGGUUUGUUAAGUCUGCUGUGAAAGCCCCGGGCUCAACCUGGGAAUGGCAGUGGAUACUGGCAAGCUAGAGUGCGGUAGAGGGUAGUGGAAUUCUCGGUGUAGCGGUGAAAUGCGUAGAUAUCGAGAGGAACACCUGCGGCGAAGGCGGGUUGCUGGGCUGACACUGACGCUGAUGCGCGAAAGCCAGGGGAGGCGAACGGG
rnacentral:rRNA from 1 species